rnacentral:rRNA from 1 species
AGGACGAACGCUGGCGGCGUGCUUCAUACAUGCAAGUCGAACGAGAAAUUACCUUCGGGUAAUGGGAAAGUGGCGGACGGGUGAGUAAUAUGUAGAGAAUCUGCCUUCAAGCGGGGGAUAGCAGUUGGAAACGACUAUUAAUACCCCAUAUGAGCGUAACUGAAAUGUUAUUCUUGAAAACUCCGGUGCUUGGAGAUGAGUCUGCAUCUGAUUAGCUAGUUGGGGGUGUAAUGGACCACCAAGGCGACGAUCAGUAGCUGGUUUGAGAGGAUGAUCAGCCACAAUGGGACUGAGACACGGCCCAUACUCCUACGGGAGGCAGCAGUAGGGAAUUUUGCGCAAUGGGCGAAAGCCUGACGCAAGCAACGCCGCGUGAUCGAGACGCUUUUCGGAGUGUAAAGAUCUGUCACAGGGGACGAACGAUGACGGUACCCUGAGAGGAAGCACCGGCUAACUCCGUGCCAGCCGCGGC